rnacentral:rRNA from 1 species
AACGAACGCUGGCGGCAGGCCUAACACAUGCAAGUCGAGCGGUUGACGGGAGCUUGCUCCCUGAUUCAGCGGCGGACGGGUGAGUAAUGCCUAGGAAUCUGCCUAUUAGUGGGGGACAACGUUUCGAAAGGAACGCUAAUACCGCAUACGUCCUACGGGAGAAAGCAGGGGACCUUCGGGCCUUGCGCUAAUAGAUGAGCCUAGGUCGGAUUAGCUUGUUGGUGAGGUAAUGGCUCACCAAGGCGACGAUCCGUAACUGGUCUGAGAGGAUGAUCAGUCACACUGGAACUGAGACACGGUCCAGACUCCUACGGGAGGCAGCAGUGGGGAAUAUUGGACAAUGGGCGAAAGCCUGAUCCAGCCAUGCCGCGUGUGUGAAGAAGGUCUUCGGAUUGUAAAGCACUUUAAGUUGGGAGGAAGGGUUGUAGAUUAAUACUCUGCAAUUUUGACGUUACCGACAGAAUAAGCACCGGCUAACUCUGUGCCAGCAGCCGCGGUAACAC